UUUAUUUGAGAGUUUGAUCCUGGCUCAGGACGAACGCUGGCGGCGUGCCUAAUACAUGCAAGUUGAGCGAUGAAGAUUGGUGCUUGCACCAAUUUGAAGAGCAGCGAACGGGUGAGUAACGCGUGGGGAAUCUGUCCUUUGAGCGGGGGACAACAUUUGGAAACGAAUGCUAAUACCGCAUAAC
rnacentral:rRNA from 1 species